rnacentral:rRNA from 1 species
GACGAACGCUGGCGGCGUGCUUAACACAUGCAAGUCGAACGGAAAGGCCCUGCUUUUGUGGGGUGCUCGAGUGGCGAACGGGUGAGUAACACGUGAGUAACCUGCCCUUGACUUUGGGAUAACUUCAGGAAACUGGGGCUAAUACCGGAUAGGAGCUCCUGCUGCAUGGUGGGGGUUGGAAAGUUUCGGCGGUUGGGGAUGGACUCGCGGCUUAUCAGCUUGUUGGUGGGGUAGUGGCUUACCAAGGCUUUGACGGGUAGCCGGCCUGAGAGGGUGACCGGCGACAUGGGUCCUAAGCUGCGCCCCGGACCCCACGGGGGGGCAGCGGGGGGGAAUCUGGCAUAGGGGGCGGGGGCCGGAGACGAAGGCCCCGGGUGGGGAAGGGCGCCUUUCGGGUUGAAAACCGUUUGCCCCUGAGAAGAGGGGGGAGUGAGGGUAGUGAAUAAAAAAGCCCGGGCAAACUAGGUG